AUUGCGACGUCCGCUCUGCACAGAUU
rnacentral:piRNA from 1 species